rnacentral:lncRNA from 1 species
GAACUCAAACUUGUAGUCCUCCUGCUUCAGCCUCCCAGAGUGCUAGGAUUACAGGCCUGUGCCACCACACCUGGCUGAGGCUUUGACUUUUAUAGCUUGUUUGCUCCCUGACUAUGAGUGUCCCUACCUGUAGAGACAUCCUUGGCUCCUUUACCACACUUGGCCUUUCCUGAUAUGUGGUCUAGAAAUCUUAUUACCGAUGACUUUCAAAUUGUUUCUAAAACAAAAGUCAAUAAAAUUUGGAGGGGAUGGCUGGGGCUGUGGGUUCUUUUGGAGUAAGUUGGCUUAUGACUUGUUUUGUCUACUUUCAUCCCAUGUUGCUGUUUCAUUUUAUGUUUCCAGCCAGGGAAUACAGACGUCGUGCUGGGCCACUUUGAUUUAAUCGUCAACAUCCCAGUAACUUUAUUCAUGUUACAGGCCUUUUAAAGCCCUAUAAAUGUAAAUAGUCUUAAUAUAGUUAUUAAAUCUCUCUCCAUUGCCAAAAGAUUAAGUCAAAUCUGUUUUUUUCCCUCAGGCUCAAAAUUCUACAGCAAAUCUGCCCAGCUAGGAUGGAGGGCACUGGCCCGACUUCUUGCUUCUGGCUCUAAUGGUUGCUUUCCCAUUGGAACUGGAGCAUACCAGGGCCUGCAGCCUGCCCCGCCUCCCUCCAGGUGGCACCUCAGCCAGGGACUUCGUGUUCUAGCCCUAUGCAGGUGACUGUCAGGUUGAUCGCUCCAGCUUGGCCCUUUCCAGAACUCUGGAUUUCUCUUUUGUUGCUAUUGUUGUUUGUUUUGUUUUUUUCAGCGUUUUUUCAGAUAGGGUCUCGAUGUGUAGUUCAAACUGGCCUCAAAUUCACUGUGAUCCUCCUGCCUCAGGCUUCCAAGUGCUGGGAUUACAGGCAUGUGCCAUUAUGUCUGAUUCACAACUCUAGAUUUGUUUCAGUAACUCCACAUGGAUGUCUAACAGGCAUCUAAACUUCAAAGUCCAAAAGAGAACUUAUAUCCCUUGGGGCAGCUCACAUACUCAGCCUUCCGUCUUGAUACAUGGCACCACUCUUCACUCAGUGGGCCAGAGUCUAAGUCUUAUUCAUUUUUUCUUUCUUCAAAGUGGUGCUAGAAUUCUGUGUGUGUGUGCCAGAAUUAAACUAAGUACCACUGAGCUAUAUCCCCAGCAUUUUCAUUUUUCAAUUUUUUGAGAUAAGUUUCACUAUGUUGUCCAGGCUGAUUGUCUUAGUUACAUUUCUCAUUGCUGAGACAAAUAUCCGACACCUCUCAGUUUGUAGAGGUUUUAGUUUAUAGUUGGCAGGGUGAAUGGCAGAGGGGCAUCGCAGAGGGGAAACAGUUAAUGGCAGACAAAAGGUAGCAAAGCAUCAAGGAGCCUUAGCUUCUUUCUGCCCCUUUUAUACUCUGUCUAAGCUACUGGGAUUAGGGUGGUGCGACAUUUAAUCCCAGCAUCACACACUCUAAAUUCAGCCACACCUGAAAAAACCUCAUCUAAGACUGCAUGAGGCUUUGAGGGGACAUCUAGAUACAAGCCAUAACACUGGCCUUGAACUUUUUUUUUUUUGGUACCAGGGAUCGGUGGCCUUGAACUUUUGAUCCUCCUGCCUCAGCCACCAGAGUGCUGGGAUUAUAGGCAUGUGCCACCUCACCCAGUUAACUGAUAUGUUGAUCAGCCAUAAAUGGCAAGUACUUCCUGAGUUCUUGCUACUUUAAGUCUCUGUACUUGAUGCCAGCAAGGGAAGAAAAAUGGUACAAGACAUGGCAAUGGACCUUGUAAUUCUGUUUGUAAACACUGAGUCCUUGACUUCUGGAUAAACAUAGUAAACUGAACAAGUGUGUAUAUAUCUCUGCUUCCUCCCAAAACUCGUAAAAUGACAGUCAGGAAUUGAAGCAGUGCAAACUCAGAAACCUCCCAAAGAGGCACCAGCCGAGGCUUGCCCACUGGAGCCCCAGCACUGGAAUGUGGAUCACGCAGAGCAGAGAAGGCUGGAGCAGCAGCCAGGCGGGUGUGUGUGUGUGUGUGUGUGCGCGCGUGCGCAGAGCUGGGAGUGCUGGCUGCAGAAUCCUAAAGGCUGGGCUUGCACAUCAGUGCUCAGCCAGCAACCACCACAUGGGAGGCAGGUCAGAGUGAAGGAGAAAGGAAGGAAAACACUGCAGAAUCCAGGAAACCUGUCCCUUGCCACAGGGAAGGGAAGGGGUUAGAGCCAACUCCACAGGUACACUUUUGGGGCCCCAAGAGCAGCUGGUGUAGAUGGGGGACGGCUAUUCCCAAAAGGGGCAGCGCUAAGAGCAGGGAUGCUUUUGAUCCCCCUCAGAGAAUUUUUUCAGCUCUGGCCUAGUUUGUGGAUUAAAUAGUAACUCAUACAUAGAAAACUAAACAGGAAAACAAGAAUGCAGUUUUAAAAAGAAAGUACUGGUGAUUGCACCCAGGGCUUUUGCACUGAGCUGCAUCCCCAAUCUGUUUUUUGUUUUUCAUUUUGAGACAAAGUCUCGUUAAGUCACUAAAUUGUCCAGGCUGGGCUCCUACCUCAGCCUCCCAGAGUUACUGGGAUUAUAGAUGUCCACCACCAUAUUGUCCAGUGUCUUUUUCUUUCCUCUCUCUCUCUUUUUUCUUUGAUUUUUUGAGGGGCUAGGUCUCACCCCAGGGCCUGUUGCAUGCCGGACAAAUUUUCUACCAGUGAGUAUCUCCCUUUCUCCAUGGAAGCAAUAUUUUUUUCCUUUGUGAUACAGAAGCAAUUUUUAAUAACAAAAUAAAGUUACAAGAAAGAAAAUAUAACCAUAGAACAUUUCAAGGUCAGCUCUAAAUCUUUAUAUAAGCAUGUCAUCAUCAAAUAUUGAUUUAAUUAAAAUGUCAUAUAAUCUUUUAUUUAUUCGUUUAUUUAUUUUGGUUAUUUUGAGACUGGGUCUUCUAUGUGGUUCAGGAUGACCUUGAACUCACUAUGCACUGGGAUUACAGGUGUGUGCCCCCACACUUGGCUGUCAUAUAAUCAUUUAAGGACAAGUGAGAAGGAGAAUUGUGGAGUGGCCGGGGUGACCUGAUAUCAGAAAGCUGGUAGGUAGGUAAUGGCUUGGUUUGAUGUGAAAAGGUUCGACAGACUUGGAAUAAGUCUGGCAAGGAGCAGUGGUGGGGUGAGCAGAAGGAGUGGAUGCUACAAAGACCUUGAGGUAAGAAAGAAGGGACUUGGCCUGGCUGGCAAGAGAACAGCACAAAAUGGAGGAUGUGUGACACGGUCCCAGGCAAGGAUUAGGAGUGGUAAGCUAGGUCAGGGGCCUACGUCUCAUGGGAAGUGGCCAGUAGGUUUUAAGAACAGACAGAUGUGACCAAUCCUGUCUCCACCAAGAUUGCUUGGCUACUGUGCAGGAGAUACAUUGCUCGGAGAAGACAGUGAGGUGAGUGCCAGAGGGGCUGGAGCAGCAGCUCAGGUGAGAGGGCACAGGGACUUGGCUGAGCAAAGUAGUUGCAAGUUCUAGUCUAGCCUGGGCAGUUUAGCAAAUUAGCAAGACCUCUGUCUCAAAACAAAUUCAGUCUGAAGGCCCUGGGUUCAGUGCCUAGUACUGGACCUGGGAGGUGGCAAGGGGCUAGCUAAAAUGGGUCUCCUGGCUUCAGAAACAUGGCAAAGACCUUUGGAAAGGCCCCUACAUCUGUGAACUAAAUAUAAUUAUGUAUUGCCGUGUGCGUAAAGGGAGAGGGUAUAAAAUACACCAAAAACAGAUUAUAGGAAUUUGAUGUGGAGAGAGGUUUAGGCAGCUGAGAAAAGCUUCGCAGAAAGGAGUUGAGUUGUGCCAUGAGAGUUUAGUACGCUUUAGGUAAAAAAGGAAAAGAAUGUGCUAAGCUACACACUGCUCUGGUUGCCAGUGAGGAAAGCUGACACUGCUCAUUUGUUCAAGAUGGUGGCAAUUAGGGCUGUGUUCGCUCCCAGGUGCUGUCCUGGCUGAUUUCCGACAGGCCAGACCCUGUGAGGCAGUCAUGGGACACGCCAGCACAGGGUCAUAGCAUCCUCCAAGCGGUGCCAGGAGAAGAUGGGCAUCUCUUUCUUGAGCAUAGUGUUUCCACUUCCAGUAAUAUUCCAAUAAAAACCAAGAGAGAAAAGUCAGACCGUUUUCCUUUUCCCUUUUCUGAUAGCCAUGACUGAAUGGUUUUUGUGUUCUUAUUUAAAAGAAGAACUUGGCAUAUGACAUACCUCUUCCAGCCAUCUUUAGUGGGUUGUGGGGUGUGAGUGAUUAAGAAUGCAGCUGUGCUUUCUACCAACACAUGCUUUUAAGGAGUGAGCUGCAAAGCAGAC